UUUACUUGAGGGGUACAGUUGUUCAAGAGAUUUGGAGUGUGGAAGAGGAUGCACGGUGACCCCUCCGAGUGUUCCUGAGACGACCCGCGACACCCGACUCUUGCAAGGCCAGGGCGGCACUUAAAUUCCGAGCCGCAAGCCGCAAGGCAGCGAGUUAACUCAGCUGUAACAAUUUAUAAAAGUGCGCUGCAUUCCGUUUGACAAACCUGCAUGUUGUAAAUCCCCCCCUCGAGCAGUGAAAGAAAGUCUAGUGUGUGUGUGUGUGUGUGUUUGUGUGUGUGUGUGUGUGUGAUUGUGCAUGUGUGUGACUGGGAAGGAGUGUGAAGCAGCUGCAAGCACGCACAGUCUCAGGAAGGCUACGGAUCUCAGGCGAAUAAGGUGCCGAAACCGUGUCCAGGAAAGAGAGGCGAAUGACAGCAGCGUAUUGUACAGAGUCGCAUGCCAUAGAGCGGCGGAGCACGGCGAAGUCCCAUGGGGGCGUGGUGAAGAGCUGGGAAACGUGGGACCGUUUGUAUUUUCUUCCGGUCGAACUUUCCAACGUGCUGGCUUUCCAACUGCUAAAAAAGAAGAACACUUCCCCGAGUGUAGUGGACGUGGCUACACAGGUCUGGUCAUUUUCAGCAGCAGACUUUUAUAAUGGAGGAUUUCUGCGUGCUGGCUUUCCAACUGCCAAUAAAGAAGAACACUUUCCCGAGUGGAGUGGACGUGGCUACACAGGUCAGGUCAUUUCCAGCAGCAGACUUUUAUAACGGAGGAUUUCUGCGUACCUAAAUUGGCAAAAGCUGGUGUACUUCAAACUAACCAUGAAAAUAAGAAAAAGAGAGAAGCCAGAUCAGCGUGCAUUGAUGGGCAGAGUUUAACGGAGUGUGUCAAGAUCAGAGACAAGAUAAGGCGCAGCUAAUACUAAGGUUUGGAAGGAGUCAGGCCUCAUUAGAUGAAGAGCAGAAACCAAUUUGGAAUAAGUUACCUGUUUAUAAUGGAGAGCAUUUCCUUUUACUGGACCAGCUGUGGCGCAUUCAUUGAAGUUAAGAUCCACAUUUGUGAAGUUUGGGAACUUUUUAGAAAACCCAAAGAAAAUCUGCCUGAAUACACUUAGGGGAAAAAUGUGAAAACUUCAUAAAGUGUGUUACAUGAAGCUACAUUCCUGGAUCUGGCAGGCACAGAUGCGGUGUGUACCACCAUGUCAAUGUCCACCCUCUAACUUCACCUCCAUACUGCCUCAGACUUGAACAUGCACGUUCUCAUCAAUGAACGGGUCUUUUAGCUUUGGCGUUACAUAGUCACAUUUUAAAAGAUAUUUUCAGUGAAAUACUUUAUAAAGAGAGUCGCAGGACAAGAUAAAAUGUUGGGGCACCUUGGAGGCAAACUCUGUAUACAGUAAUUGGGAAAACAGACAGCAGUUGUGCAACUGGCUAACUGGAUACGUGGUGAUGUUGGCUCUGUUAAGGGCCCGAAUCCCUGGAGCUGAAAGAGACGUCAUGGGUCAUCAUGCCACCGAUCUUCAGACCUGAGGAUAGGGGGACAGGAGUGUGGUAUAGCGGGUCCACGGCUCGGAAGGAAUGGCCAGUUUUUAAAUAAAUAAUGGCUGCACUCGAGGCUUAAACAGGAUGCGUGGUAGUGUGGCCGGAGCAGUUCCUGGGCGCAAUGCGGCGCAACCGUUUCCUCACUUAAGAGCAUGGGUGAGGGAUCGUCUGUGUCCGUACUUGAUGCUGGGAGCUGCUAAUCACUGCACCUGUGCCUCAUCCCUAUCAAAUAGGAGAAGCGCGAGUGCGGAGGGGAGAUGACAAAAAAGAGUGCCGAGGUUAAUGGAAGCUGGAAGCUAAGAUUCAGUGCGAGUAUGAGCGAGCGAGCAGGAAGAGCAGGCUCGCUGAUGGCAGUUGGGAAGUGUGCUCUAGCGGGGUGUUUGGCCGGCACUCGCUGGCUGAUGGAUUGGGUCACUCCUGCUGAGUUUUUCAGAGGAGUAGGAGUGACCAGGGUUAUGGAUGGCUUGCCACAAAAGGCAGCGGGAGUUGGAGGCUUGGGAGGUUGAAGCUCCAUCAUGAGCGCCCUGGUCGCUGGGGAACCUGAGUCUCGGUCUGGCGGAUCUGAACGAAUUCAGGGGUCAGACAGCUACCAGACCAGCAGGAGAAGGUCAGCUGCAGGUAGGGCAACUCCCCUGUUGCAGGGCCCGGAUGGGAGAAGAAGGGGAGCCGCGAGUUAAAGAAGGCACCGGGUUUUUAAAGGACUGCCUCCAGCCAUUGUUGUUUUUAAUCUCAUUUUAAUGGAUUUAUUUAUUGGGGUUUUAACCUCUACAUUUUCACCCUGUUUUGAAUGGAUUAUUUAUGGACAUUUGCGAAGCACUGCACUCUAUUUGGACAUUUUUUGUUUGGUUUUUAAUAAAAGCAC